GUGAGCCGCAUGCGGGGAGACCCGCAUGUACGGUUCUAAGGGGGAUCCGGUCGAAAAACCGGCCAACACCCAUCCGACUAGAGGGACUGAGAAAUUAAUAGAGUACAAAAGUUAUCUUCAAGCUUUACCUUAU
rfam:Ipomoea nil DNA, scaffold: scaffold2735, cultivar: Tokyo-kokei standard.